UGAGCUUACAGCAGCAGCAUGGGCUGAAAUGUAUUACCAUUCUGCACCUGAAGGGAAAAAGCACACUAGGCUCAUAAAGGACACCUCCUUUAACUUGUUUCCUGUUUACCAAGGAUCUCUGGCCUCUCAGGACUUACCUUGUGCAAGUAGGAAGUCCACAGUUCCUAGAUGGCCUUCAGAAGCAGCCAUCAUCAGGGGAGUACGACCCUGCUUGUCUGCCAUGUUGACAUCAGCUCCGUGGGUUGUCAGAGGUUGACACCAGUGUCCUCCUUACUCUCUGCUGUGAUUUGAAUAAGAUGGCCUCCACCUCCACAGGAUUGCAACAUAUAUGAUCAAUGGAGGAAGAGGGAGAAAUUGUUUGAGAAGAGAAUUCCUGGGCUCUGGACCAUUACACAUAUAAAAGAAGUCAUGAAAUCAAUGCACAAUUUUAUCAGAAGAAGAAAGAAAACAAUUCAACAAGUUGUUAUAACUUUUAGUUAAGUUCAAAAUUCUUAUCUGAUUUUUAACAACAUUCUCACCUUUACCAAAAACCAUACCCUUCUUCUUUAGUGAAAUACGUUACCUACAUUUGUCAACUCAUUGUUAGUCUCUUUCUCCUGGCAAAUAUGACACACAUCUGGGGUAACUCUACCAUUUUCUCUGCCCCAGUCUCACAAAGACACAUCAAAGCUUACUAAUGUUUCUUCAGAUGCUCCAGUUUAGACUUGGAAGAAAUACAACAUUCAUUACCUGCAUCAGUCACAAGGAAGAGGCUACUGCUGGUGAGGCAAGGCCCACAUGAUAAAGAAAAUGCUUCACUAUACACCAGAGACUGCACUAGAUCAGUUUGCAUCUAGCUGGCAACUUUAGUCACAAGUAGAUGCAGAGGAUCCAAUGGAGAAUCCUGAAGCCUAAGGUGAUUUCAGAACUAUUACACAGAAGGAAACUGCACAAGUGAUCUGCACUAGACUGCAGUGUUAAGAGAG